GUGUGGUCUUCCGAUACUGUUCGUUCCGCGCUUGCAUAUUUGCGGUGUUUAUCGAUAUUAUGUGUGCCAGUCAUCGUUGUCAGUCGUCGACUGGAAGUGUAUCGCGUGUGGGAUGGAAUGGGCGGCCAAAGGUGUGCCAAGAUUUUGUGUUGGUGUUCUGUGGUGUGUCGUCGUAGCCUCAACGGGCUCGUCGCUUUGU
rnacentral:lncRNA from 1 species